rnacentral:rRNA from 1 species
UGAGGAAUGCGUCGGAAUCUGCCUCUUUGUGGGGGAUAACGUAGGGAAACUUACGCUAAUACCGCAUACGACCUACGGGUGAAAAUGGGGGACCGCAAGGCCUCACGCAGAGAGAUGAGCCGACGCCGGAUUAGCUAGUUGGCGGGGUAAAGGCCCACCAAGGCGACGAUCCGUAGCUGGUCUGAGAGGAUGAUCAGCCACACUGGAACUGAGACACGGUCCAGACUCCUACGGGAGGCAGCAGUGGGGAAUAUUGGACAAUGGGCGCAAGCCUGAUCCAGCCAUGCCGCGUGAGUGAAGAAGGCCUUCGGGUUGUAAAGCUCUUUUGUUGGGGAAGAAAAGCAUCCGGCUAAUAUCCGGGUGUUCUGACGGUACCCAAAGAAUAAGCACCGGCUAACUUCGUGCCAGCAGCCGCGGUAAUACGAAGGGUGCAAGCGUUACUCGGAAUUACUGGGCGUAAAGCGUGCGUAGGUGGUUCGUUAAGUCUGAUGUGAAAGCCCUGGGCUCAACCUGGGAACUGCAUUGGAUACUGGCGAUCUGGAGUGCGGUAGAGGGUGGCGGAAUUCCCGGUGUAGCAGUGAAAUGCGUAGAUAUCGGGAGGAACAUCCGUGGCGAAGGCGGCCACCUGGACCAGCACUGACACUGAG